rnacentral:rRNA from 1 species
UACGGAGGGUGCAAGCGUUGUCCGGAAUUACUGGGCGUAAAGCGCACGUAGGCGGCUUCUUAAGUCGGUGGUGAAAUCCUGGAGCUCAACUCCAGAACUGCCUUCGAUACUGGGAGCUCGAGUCCGGGAGAGGUGAGUGGAACUGCGAGUGUAGAGGUGAAAUUCGUAGAUAUUCGCAAGAACACCAGUGGCGAAGGCGGCUCACUGGCCCGGUACUGACGCUGAGGUGCGAAAGCGUGGGGAGCAAACAGGG